GACGAACGCUGGCGGCGUGCUUAACACAUGCAAGUCGAACGGAAAGGCCCUGCUUUUGUGGGGUGCUCGAGUGGCGAACGGGUGAGUAACACGUGAGUAACCUGCCCUUGACUUUGGGAUAACUUCAGGAAACUGGGGCUAAUACCGGAUAGGAGCUCCUGCUGCAUGGUGGGGGUUGGAAAGUUUCGGCGGUUGGGGAUGGACUCGCGGCUUAUCAGCUUGUUGGUGGGGUAGUGGCUUACCAAGGCUUUGACGGGUAGCCGGCCUGAGAGGGUGACCGGCCACAUUGGGACUGAGAUACGGCCCAGACUCCUACGGGAGGCAGCAGUGGGGAAUAUUGCACAAUGGGCGGAAGCCUGAUGCAGCAACGCCGCGUGCGGGAUAACGGCCUUCGGGUUGUAAACCGCUUUCGCCUGUGACGAAGCGUGAGUGACGGUAAUGGGUAAAGAAGCACCGGCUAACUACGUGCCAGCAGCCGCGGUGAUACGUAGGGUGCGAGCGUUGUCCGGAUUUAUUGGGCGUAAAGGGCUCGUAGGUGGUUGAUCGCGUCGGAAGUGUAAUCUUGGGGCUUAACCCUGAGCGUGCUUUCGAUACGGGUUGACUUGAGGAAGGUAGGGGAGAAUGGAAUUCCUGGUGGAGCGGUGGAAUGCGCAGAUAUCAGGAGGAACACCAGUGGCGAAGGCGGUUCUCUGGGCCUUUCCUGACGCUGAGGAGCGAAAGCGUGGGGAGCGAACAGGCUUAGAUACCCUGGUAGUCCACGCUGUAAACGGUGGGUACUAGGUGUGGGGUCCAUUCCACGGGUUCCGUGCCGUAGCUAACGCUUUAAGUACCCCGCCUGGGGAGUACGGCCGCAAGGCUAAAACUCAAAGGAAUUGACGGGGCCCCGCACAAGCGGCGGAGCAUGCGGAUUAAUUCGAUGCAACGCGUAGAACCUUACCUGGGUUUGACAUGGAUCGGGAGUGCUCAGAGAUGGGUGUGCCUCUUUUGGGGUCGGUUCACAGGUGGUGCAUGGCUGUCGUCAGCUCGUGUCGUGAGAUGUUGGGUUAAGUCCCGCAACGAGCGCAACCCUUGUUCACUGUUGCCAGCACGUUAUGGUGGGGACUCAGUGGAGACCGCCGGGGUCAACUCGGAGGAAGGUGGGGAUGACGUCAAGUCAUCAUGCCCCUUAUGUCCAGGGCUUCACGCAUGCUACAAUGGCUGGUACAGAGAGUGGCGAGCCUGUGAGGGUGAGCGAAUCUCGGAAAGCCGGUCUCAGUUCGGAUUGGGGUCUGCAACUCGACCUCAUGAAGUCGGAGUCGCUAGUAAUCGCAGAUCAGCAACGCUGCGGUGAAAACGUUCCCGGG
rnacentral:rRNA from 1 species